UCACUUGUUCUUUAAAUGAGGACUUGUAUCAACGGCACCACGAGGGUUAUACUGUCUCCUUUCUCUAAUCAGUGAAACUGAUCUCUCCGUGAAGAAGCGGGGAUACUCCUAUAAGACGAAAAGACCCCAUGGAGCUUCAAACCCAACUACACCCUUAACUACCACAACCGCACAACCUCUUAGGGCCCUGUAUAGUUGGUUUUAGGUUGGGGCGACCACGGAGUACAACCAAACCUCCG
rnacentral:rRNA from 1 species